rnacentral:rRNA from 1 species
CCUACGGGAGGCUGCAGUGAGGAAUAUUGGUCAAUGGACGAGAGUCUGAACCAGCCAAGUCGCGUGAAGGAUGACUGCCCUAUGGGUUGUAAACUUCUUUUAUAUGGGAAUAAAGCGAUCAACGUGUUGGUUUUUGUAUGUACCAUAUGAAUAAGGAUCGGCUAACUCCGUGCCAGCAGCCGCGGUAAUACGGAGGAUACGAGCGUUAUCCGGAUUUAUUGGGUUUAAAGGGAGCGUAGGUGGUUAAUUAAGUCAGUUGUGAAAGUUUGUGGCUCAACCGUAAAAUUGCAGUUGAAACUGGUAGUCUUGAGUACAGUAGAGGUGGGCGGAAUGCGUGGUGUAGCGGUGAAAUGCAUAGAUAUCACGAAGAACUCCGAUUGCGAAGGCAGUUCACUAAACUAUAACUGACACUGAAGCUCGAAAGUGUGGGGAUCAAACAGGAUUAGAUACCCUAGUAGUC